rnacentral:rRNA from 1 species
GAUGAACGCUGGCGGCGUGCCUAAUACAUGCAAGUCGAGCGAACAGACGAGGAGCUUGCUCCUCUGACGUUAGCGGCGGACGGGUGAGUAACACGUGGAUAACCUACCUAUAAGACUGGGAUAACUUCGGGAAACCGGAGCUAAUACCGGAUAAUAUAUUGAACCGCAUGGUUCAAUAGUGAAAGACGGUUUUGCUGUCACUUAUAGAUGGAUCCGCGCCGCAUUAGCUAGUUGGUAAGGUAACGGCUUACCAAGGCAACGAUGCGUAGCCGACCUGAGAGGGUGAUCGGCCACACUGGAACUGAGACACGAUCCAGACUCUUACGGGAGGCAGCAGUAGGGAAUCUUCCGCAAUGGGCGAAAGCCUGACGGAGCAACGCCGCGUGAGUGAUGAAGGUCUUCGGAUCGUAAAACUCUGUUAUUAGGGAAGAACAAAUGUGUAAGUAACUAUGCACGUCUUGACGGUACCUAAUCAGAAAGCCACGGCUAACUACGUG